rnacentral:tRNA from 1 species
CCCACUGUAGCUCAGUUGGUAGAGCAUGGCACUUGCAACGCCAGGGUUGUGGGUUUGAUUCCCAUGGGGGGC